rnacentral:rRNA from 1 species
AGUGAACGCUGGCGGUAGGCCUAACACAUGCAAGUCGAACGGCAGCACAGUAAGAGCUUGCUCUUACGGGUGGCGAGUGGCGGACGGGUGAGGAAUACAUCGUAAUCUACUUUUUCGUGGGGGAUAACGUAGGGAAACUUACGCUAAUACCGCAUACGACCUACGGGUGAAAGCAGGGGAGCUUCGGACCUUGCGCGAUUGAAUGAGCCGAUGUCGGAUUAGCUAGUUGGCGGGGUAAGGGCCCACCAAGGCGACGAUCCGUAGCUGGUCUGAGAGGAUGAUCAGCCACACUGGAACUGAGACACGGUCCAGACUCCUACGGGAGGCAGCAGUGGGGAAUAUUGGGCAAUGGGCGCAAGCCUGAUCCAGCCAUACCGCGUGGGUGAAGAAGGCCUUCGGGUUGUAAAGCCCUUUUGUUGGGAAAGAAAAGCAGCAGGUUAAUACCCCGCUGUUCUGACGGUACCCAAAGAAUAAGCACCGGCUAACUUCGUG